AUACCUUGUUUUACCACUUGCUAUCUGUUUGCCUUGACCCUGUCAUAAUUCUGAUUGCUCUAAAUAAAACACAAUCAUUUUCAAUGUGAGAAAUUUAAUGCAACCACAAUAUGUGAGUUUUAACCACACCCUUUUCUACACGUACUUUGCAAAUGAGCACAAUUGUUCCUGACUUCAUCUAAUUCACUCUCAAAAUGCUCAUGGAAAGUGUAGGGCAUCUGAUACUUUAUCUUCAUUUUACUGGCAAGGAAACAGAUUCAGGUUGGUUUUGAUUAUGUUUGAUUUUGUUCAUAAGCACCCCAAUCAGUGAAAAAACUAAAACUAGACUCGAAUUCCAGUUAUACUUAGUUCAGUGUUUUAAUUUCUAAACCAGUUUAUUCACCAUUUGAUUGAUAAACCCAAUUAAUAAGAGAAUCAGCAGGCCUACUUUAAAAGCAAUAUUUUGCUUUUCUAAUUUUUAAACAGAAUUAUCCCAAAUGAAUUCACUGGCACAGUCGUUAGGACUGAGAAACAUAGCAUUAAGUAGCAAGGCAAAAAUCACUUGAAAUUAAAAUAUUGUUGCAGAAAUCUUUUAAAUGAAUAAAUUAUCCUAGUUUGGUCUUCUAAAGACCCCUUUGUUACCUAAUUUAAAUAAAUGUGGGCUUUUGAUUGCUUACUAAAUUUUCUUCAGAGUUGAAGGAAUUCUUUGGCCUUUUCUAAAUCACUAUCUAUAUACCCAUACUCAUUUUCCUUAGUUCUUGCAUUGCAGAAUGUACUUUCCAAUAUUUAUACUUUGUUUUUUGCCUUCUCUUCAUCUGAAAACCUUCACCUGUCUCAUCAUUAAAUCUAUGGAUUUGUCAAUACUGGGAGUUCGGUCAAUGAUAUCCUAGUGUUUUCAGUGAUAUCAUCAUCAUUAUGUCUUCCAAAUUCAGUGAGUGGCCUGGAGAUUGUACUUGUUCUUCUUGGGUGCGAAAACCUAUCUACUAUUUUAUCUCUUUACUGUUAAUUCUGUAGCAUAGAGCAAUAUCAAGAUUCACCCUCAAUCCCAACUCUAUUCAUUGUGAAGUGAGUGAUGUAUUUAUCAUAAAAUCCAACUUCAUGUUGUUUACCCUUAGGAACGAGACUUGUACUACCAUUUGGUCAAAACCAAGACAAGUUUCCCCAGCCUUCAAGGAGUGGUUGCUGUGGUAACACCUACCAUUAUGUUCUCCUUGUCUUGCUUCUACAAUAACAUAAACAUGGCAUGAUCAGCCCAGUUCAAAAGCAAGAAGCACUUAAGAACUCCCAGAAAUGAACAAGAUAAUGAAGGGGUUAUUUCCAACUUUCGGUUGAAGUCCAUCCUGCUGCUACUUCUGACAGGCAACACAUUUUCUUGGAAAGAACAUCAAGGUGAUAGAAUUUUAAUCUGAAUGUAAAUUCAAUAUCUGCUUUCCUUGGGCAGGUAACAAGCUCAUUUCCUACAGUAAAAUAUGAAUAAUUCUAAAGACCAAAUUAGUCUAUAAUAUAAAAAUGUUGUUAAAAUAAGGGGUUAAUGGGUUUGAGAAUAUACAGAGGGAAACCAUUUCAUCCAAAUGCCAAAUGUUAUUCUAUUUUUUUGACAUUUUGUAAACUUCCGCCUCUGUACAUUUCCAAGUUGCAAAUUGUAUGCAGUGUUGAACACUGAUGCUCAAUUAAACUUGAAGUGACCAUGGGAAAUAUUACUGAAAAGGUAAUGGCAUAAAUUUUAGUAAAGAGAAAUUUCAAGGACUUUUGAUCCAAUUGCCAAGCAUCAAUAAUGCUCAAUCAAACUUUUCUGGAGAAGUUUUCUCUAGUCACUCCCAUUUGGGAUGCCAUUUGUAG